GGAGAGGUGGCUGAGUUGGUCGAAAGCGCCGCUCUCGAAAAGCGGUAGGGCCGUAAGGUCCUCGUGGGUUCGAAUCCCACCCUCUCCG
rnacentral:tRNA from 1 species